rnacentral:rRNA from 1 species
AGCGAACGCUGGCGGCAGGCCUAACACAUGCAAGUCGAACGAACUCUUCGGAGUUAGUGGCGGACGGGUGAGUAACACGUGGGAACGUGCCUUUAGGUUCGGAAUAACUCAGGGAAACUUGUGCUAAUACCGAAUGUGCCCUUCGGGGGAAAGAUUUAUCGCCUUUAGAGCGGCCCGCGUCUGAUUAGCUAGUUGGUGAGGUAAAGGCUCACCAAGGCGACGAUCAGUAGCUGGUCUGAGAGGAUGAUCAGCCACAUUGGGACUGAGACACGGCCCAAACUCCUACGGGAGGCAGCAGUGGGGAAUCUUGCGCAAUGGGCGAAAGCCUGACGCAGCCAUGCCGCGUGAAUGGUGAAGGUCUUAGGAUUGUAAAAUUCUUUCACCGGGGACGAUAAUGACGGUACCCGGAGAAGAAGCCCCGGCUAACUUCGUG